rnacentral:rRNA from 1 species
GAUGAACGCUGGCGGCGUGCCUAAUACAUGCAAGUCGAGCGAACAGAUGAGGAGCUUGCUCCUCUGACGUUAGCGGCGGACGGGUGAGUAACACGUGGAUAACCUACCUAUAAGACUGGGAUAACUUCGGGAAACCGGAGCUAAUACCGGAUAAUAUAUUGAACCGCAUGGUUCAAUAGUGAAAGACGGUUUUGCUGUCACUUAUAGAUGGAUCCGCGCCGUAUUAGCUAGUUGGUAAGGUAACGGCUUACCAAGGCAACGAUGCGUAGCCGACCUGAGAGGGGGAUCGCCCACAUGGGAACUGGACCGGGGUCAGGACGCCUACGAGACGGCCCAGUAGGGAAUCUUCCGCAGUGGUCGGAAACCUGGCGGAGCGGGCCGGCGCGAGUGACGAAGGUCUUCGGUGCGUAAAACUCUGUUUUGGGGGAAGAACAACUUUGUACUUAGCUAUGCACUUCUUGACGGUACCUGAUAAAAAAGCACCGGCUAACUACGUG